rnacentral:lncRNA from 1 species
GUUUACUCUCACCCAGUGAGUUCCCAGAGAGUUAUAUGGGGACUUGGUCAGCUGUGCUGUGAGGUCAUAAUCUCAGUAUGUCCCACAUGGAAUGUCGCUGGUCAUUGUCCCUGAGCAAGAAGCACCCCUUGGGAGCAGAGAUCCACAUCAGCAGAAGACACUUUCUAGGAGGUUCUGAGUGACCAGAAGGACAAUGAGCCUGGAACCUGGACUCUGUGAGCCAUACAGGGUAGAGGAAGGAGAAGAUGAGGGUAUCCUGUGGAUGGGGAGGCAUAAAGAAGCUUCUGGGUCUAGGAAGAUGUGGAAGGGGCAAAGUCCUGAACUGACAGUGCUUACAGGCCAGCAAGAAGCUGAAGCAAGUACACAGGUAACUCUAGGGCAGGACAGAGGUGAUCACUGCCUUCAGAGAAGUGCAAAGAGCUCCCUGACUCCAAAGGAGGCCCUGCUCCCAGAGAUCAGGAUUUCUGAAACCCUAUCUGCCUAA